rnacentral:rRNA from 1 species
CGCGUAGGCUGUUGAGUAAGUCAAAUGUGAAAUCCCCGGGCUUAACCUGGGAACUGCAUUCGAUACUGCUUAACUAGAGUAUGGUAGAGGGAAGUGGAAUUCCGGGUGUAGCGGUGAAAUGCGUAGAUAUCCGGAGGAACACCAGUGGCGAGGGCGACUUCCUGGGCCAAUACUGACGCUGAGGUGCGAAAGCGUGGGGAGCAAACA